AUCAGUUUCAAGACUAAUCAUAUUUAUAAAGUGAUAUUUACAGUACUGUCCAUAAAACCCUCAAAAUGGUCAUAAAAUAAUAAAACAAAAAACAAACAAAAAUCUCCCAAAGAGAUUUAAUUCCAAUACAUUUACUAUGUGUCUGUUCAUCAUGAUGUAAAUGUUCACAAAAUGUAAAGGACUGAUUUUGUGUUUAAAUAAGAAAUAAAAAAGGGGGUUGGGGUUUGCAUAGUGCACAUAUGUAAGAUUAAAUAUAUAUAAUUAUCUUAACUUGAGUUGAUAUAAGUUGAUUUUAGCUGAGCUGAGUUGAUAUGAGCUAAGUUCAUUUGAGCUCAUAUAAACUGAUUUGUGCUGAGCUGAUAUGAGUUGAGUUUAGAGAAGUUGAGCUGAUGUGAGCUGGGUCGAGUUGAGCUGAGCUGUGUUCAUUUCAGUUGAGCUGAGUUAAUAUGCGCUAAUUUAUUUUUUAUUUGAGCUAAUAUAAACUGAUUUGUAUUGAGCUGAUAUGAGUUGAGUUUAGAGGAGUUGAGUCGUGUUCUGCUGUGUUGAGUUAAGUUGAUAUGAGCUGUGUUGAUUUUAGUUGAGAGGACAUGAGACAAGUUAAUUUGAUUUGAGCUCAUAUAAACUAAUUUGUGUUGAGCUGAUAUGAGUUGAGUUUAAAGGAGUUGAAUGGUUUUCUGCAGUGUUUAGUGAAGCUGAUUUGAGCUCUGUUGAUUUCAGUUGAGUUAAGCUGAGAAGUGUUAUUUGAGUUGAGUGGAUAUAAGACAAGUUAAUUUGAUUUGAGCUCAUAAAAUCUACUUUGUGUUGAGCUGAUAUGAGUUGAGUUUAGAGGAGUUGAGUCGUGUUCUACUGUGUUUAGUGAAGCUGAUUCGAGCUGUAUUGAUUUCACUUGAGUUUGUAAAUCUGACUUUAGUUGAGUGGAUAUGAGUUAAGUUAAUGUGGUUUGAGCUUAUUUGUGCUCAACUGAUUUGUGCUGAGCUCACAUAAGUUGUGUUGAGUUGAGCGGAGCUGUGCUUAUUUUAAUUGAGUUAAAGUUGUUAUAAUCUAAGUUAAUUUGAGUUGAGCUCAUAUAAACUGAUUUGUGUUUAGCUGAUAUGAGUUGAGUUUAGAGGAGUUGAGUUGUGCUCAGCGAAGCUGAUAUGAGCUGGGUUGAGUUGAGCUGAUUUUCGCUGAGUUGAUUUGAGGUGUGUUGGGAUGAGUUGAGCUGUACUGAAAAAAAAAUAGGUUUGCUGAGUCAAGAUUUUCAGGUGAGGUGAGAUGAAAUGAGUUAAGUUGAACUAAUAUGAGCUAAGCUGAAUUUGAUAUUUGAGUUGACAUGAGCUUUGUUCAGUGUAACUAAAAUUUGGGUUGCAUUUACCAUAUAAAGAAAAGGCUUAAUCUUCACUUAAUGAGUGUUUGCUAUGGUAAACCAAAAAACAUGAUCAGUAUUUAUGCAUGUGUAAAUGUAUUUUUAUGUCAGUUAAUUUAAAAUGUUUAAUUUUUCAAACUAAAUAAAAGAACAGCAACCAUGCUUUGUCUGAUUAACAUCAUUUCAGAUCAUGGGAAUUGGAGAACUACUGCUUCAGUGUGUAAAGCUUUACAGAUGGUGUGGAUUCUAAGUGGCCACUGAAAGAUUUUGAAUAAUGCAGUAUAUGCAUUUUAAUAAAGAGGCAGAACAUACGGUUAGAUAUGAUGACAUGAGAAGAGCCAGAGCGGUAGGAAGAGUGUGUGUGUGUGUUUGUGUUUUACACCAAAGCUGCAGGAGCAGGCCCCUACAUGGAUCCAUGAUUUCACUGGACCCAAACCAGCAGAGAGGAUUAAUGUGGGAGGAGGGAGAGCUGAGAGAGAGAGAGAGAGAGAGAGAGAGAGAAGGUGUAAACCCUUGAACCAUGUCCAGUCUGCAGUCUGCUCUGGAGAGCAGCACAGAGCUGUAUCGCUGUAGAGACUAUCGCUAUGGCAGCUCUCCAAGGGAGUGGCCCUGAUAAUCUGGUUCUGCAGGUUCAAACCAAGUCAACCGAUCACAGAAGCUGUUCAGACUAUUGUCACAUCACACAAGAAGCCAACAGAUGCUUAUACAGCAAAAUAUAGCCUUGAUGUGUCUAAGCCAUAUAUUUCUUUUUUUUUUUUUCCUGUACUUUGUGUUUUUUGUUUUCUUGAGGUCUGUUUAUGAACACUGUGUCUGUUUUUACUGUUUUGAGGUGUACCAAAAACUCUCAUAAAUCUUUCUACAUGCCCAUUUCCCAACCUCCCAAUCUCUUCAGGCCUUAUAAUUAAACUGUUUUUUCUUUCUGGAACUUUAAAGCAAAACUCAUAUAUAUGUAAAUGACAUAUGUUCUGAUUGGUUGCCCCAUAUUGUGCCAGACCAGACUAACACAAUCAUGACAAAACAAAACUAUGAAUAAGAGGCAGCUCUAGACACUAUAUGGCCAAAUGUUUGGGUACAACCCUUCUAAUGAAGGUUUAAUUUAACUACUUUGAUUAAAGUAAAAAAAAGUCCCUGUAAAGAUGUAUUUCCAAAAGAAUAGGGCUCCAAGUUGUCCUACUCUGUAAAAUUACUAGACAUUUUUAAAAAAAUUACUGUUGUACUGUUACAGUUACAGAAAAUCUGUUAAUCUGUUUUUUAUAUAUAUAUAUAAAAUGACAUGAACCAUUGUGAUACACAAAGAAAUAUUGUCAUUUUAAUAUGGUUUCCCUAAAAAAAAGCACAUUUUUAGGAAUGAUGGCGCUCCAUUCAGUACUUUUGAGUACUUUUGAGUCGGGGAUGAGGUUGAGUAGUGAUCAUCCAACAUCCUGACUACCUCUCAACCACUCUGACUUGCACAAACAUUGGUAAAUGCAGUCAGUUUCUGUCUCAAUGCUUUUGUUGAUAAAGUGUAUAUGGAAAAAGUGUUGUGACAAAAUACACAAGGAUUGUUUUAAGGAUUGUUUUUAAAAAAUGAUUCUUUUUUUUUUUUUUUUUUCAAUUUACUUGCUAUAGAUGGACUUAACAGGUGUCUGCUUGUGUUUUGUCUGUGAACUCCGGACUUCUCAUGCAGUCCAAAACAACUGGAUUGGAUAUUCUGGAUAAAUUGGAUAAUUUAAAUUGUCCCAGUGUUUGAGAAUGUACGUAUUUACAUUUACAUUAAGCUCAUAUAUGGAUUGGCACUCUGUACUGGGCCACGUCCUUCAGGUGCAAUCCUCCAGGCGGGCGGUUGUUUCCGGUUGAGAGUAUGCUGUGCACAAUCGGCAGUGGAAAUUAAUUUAUUCCUUCUACAGACUUUUUAACUUACACAGCAAAUGUACUGUUAGGAAACAUUGUUAGUGUUUACUUAGCUCUCCUAGAUUUAGUGUUAAUGUAGCACUAACAAAUUUACUAUGUUGUAAAACUGUGUUAACACACUAAAUCAAUCUCAUUAAUAAAAAUAAAUAAAAGAAA